rnacentral:rRNA from 1 species
CUACGGGAGGCUCCAGUCGAGAAUCAUCCGCAAUGGGCGAAAGCCUGACGGUGCAAUGCCGCGUGGGGGAUGAAGGCCCUCGGGUCGUAAACCCCUGUCAGGAGGGACGAAGAAGUGACGGUACCUCCAGAGGAAGCCACGGCUAACUACGUGCCAGCAGCCGCGGUAAUACGUAGGUGGCGAGCGUUAUUCGGAUUUACUGGGCGUAAAGGGUCCGCAGGGGGUUUGCCAAGUCUGGUGUGAAAUCUCACAGCUCAACUGUGAAACUGCGCUGGAUACUGGUGAACUAGAGUGCGCGAGAGGUGAGUGGAAUUCCUGGUGUAGCGGUGGAAUGCGUAGAUAUCAGGAAGAACACCAACGGCGAAGGCAGCUCACUGGCGCGCAACUGACCCUCAUGGACGAAAGCGUGGGUAGCAAACAGGAUUAGAUACCCUCGUAGUC